rnacentral:rRNA from 1 species
AGUGAACGCUGGCGGUAGGCCUAACACAUGCAAGUCGAACGGCAGCACAGUAAGAGCUUGCUCUUACGGGUGGCGAGUGGCGGACGGGUGAGGAAUACAUCGGAAUCUACUUUUUCGUGGGGGAUAACGUAGGGAAACUUACGCUAAUACCGCAUACGACCUACGGGUGAAAGCAGGGGAUCUUCGGACCUUGCGCGAUUGAAUGAGCCGAUGUCGGAUUAGCUAGUUGGCGGGGUAAAGGCCCACCAAGGCGACGAUCCGUAGCUGGUCUGAGAGGAUGAUCAGCCACACUGGAACUGAGACACGGUCCAGACUACUACGGGAGGCAGCAGUGGGGAGUAUUGGACAAUGGGCGCAAGCCUGAUCCAGCCAUACCGCGUGGGUGAAGAAGGCCUUCGGGUUGUAAAGCCCUUUUGUUGGGAAAGAAAAGCAGCAGGUUAAUACCCCGCUGUUCUGACGGUACCCAAAGAAUAAGCACCGGCUAACUUCGUG